rnacentral:rRNA from 2 species
GGUUAAGCGACUAAGCGUACACGGUGGAUGCCCUGGCAGUCAGAGGCGAUGAAGGGCGUGCUAAUCUGCGAUAAGCGCCGGUAAGGUGAUAUGAACCGUUAUAACCGGCGAUACCCGAAUGGGGAAACCCAGUGUGACUCGUCACACUAUCAUUAACUGAAUCCAUAGGUUAAUGAGGCGAACCGGGGGAACUGAAACAUCUAAGUACCCCGAGGAAAAGAAAUCAACCGAGAUUCCCCCAGUAGCGGCGAGCGAACGGGGAGGAGCCCAGAGCCUGAAUCAGCAUGUGUGUUAGUGGAAGCGUCUGGAAAGGCGCGCGAUACAGGGUGACAGCCCCGUACACAAAAGCGCAUGUGCUGUGAGCUCGAUGAGUAGGGCGGGACACGUGGUAUCCUGUCUGAAUAUGGGGGGACCAUCCUCCAAGGCUAAAUACUCCUGACUGACCGAUAGUGAACCAGUACCGUGAGGGAAAGGCGAAAAGAACCCCGGCGAGGGGAGUGAAAAAGAACCUGAAACCGUGUACGUACAAGCAGUGGGAGCACCCUUUGGGUGUGACUGCGUACCUUUUGUAUAAUGGGUCAGCGACUUAUAUUCUGUAGCAAGGUUAACCGAAUAGGGGAGCCGGAGGGAAACCGAGUCUUAAC